rnacentral:SRP_RNA from 1 species
GUUGUAUGCUGUCAACUUAAUGUGACAGUCCCCUGAAGGGAAUAAUGCUACUGUUGGUUAGACCUAGGAAGCUGCACCACUUCCUGUGUCCUUAUGUUUACAAGGGAGAGACAAGCAUGCUACUCCAGACUGAUGACGAGCAAAGACUCAGAAACAUGUCUCUGGAUGCAGACAUAGCUGGGUGGAGGUGCUUGUCUCCCCCUUGUAAACAUAAGGACACAGGAAAUGUGUCAAGGCCGACAGGAAGCAGUACAGCUUCCUAGGUCUAACCAACAGUAGUAUUAUUCCCUUCAGGGGACUGUCACAUUAAG